rnacentral:rRNA from 1 species
UACGGGGGGUGCGAGCGUUGUCCGGAAUCACUGGGCGUAAAGGGCGCGUAGGUGGGUUGAUAAGGGUGUGGUGAAAGUCCGGGGCUCAACCCCGGAUCUGCCGUGCCGACUGUCAAACUCGAGGACUGUAGAGGCAGACGGAAUUCCGGGUGUAGCGGUGGAAUGCGUAGAGAUCCGGAGGAAGACCGGUGGCGAAGGCGGUCUGCUGGGCAGUUUCUGACACUGAGGCGCGACAGCGUGGGGAGCAAACAGG